UUCCCAGAUAACACCUCCCUCGGUAAAACAGAGAUGGAGAGGAAGGAAUUUUCCUUCCUUCCCCUUGAAGGCAGCCCAGCUCUUCCUCUUCGGUUCCUCUCACACGCAUCCUUUCCUUCCUCUCUCGUCCCCUCCCUGGUGCUCCGCCGCCGCCUUCUUUCUCCACCAAAUCUACCCCGUCCCAUCGUCCUCAUCCACGGCCAUCGAGUGAAGGAGCCUGAGCAGGUGAGGGGGUGGCUCUGGGAGUCGAUGGUGUCUCCAGAGCGGUCGAGAGGCGUUGGGUCGAAGGCGUCGUGCCUCGGUGGCCGGGAUUGGGCAAGUCAGAUGGGAAGCAACGAUGCCGGAAAUUGUUCGCUGCGCCUCCACCUUGUCCCUGGCCCUUCUACGAGCACUUUCUCAUGUCCACGGGAGCCCCCUUUCCACCGAGCUCCAGAUCCAUGACACUAGCAGCGAGGUGAGCAGCGGCAAAGGCUACCACCUAGCAACUCCUCUUUCCUCCUCUUUCAUCCUCUCCAACCCGUCUGGAGGUAUGCCCACUCUUCUUCUCUUCUUCUUUUAUACAACAAAGAGGAUAGGCGCAAAUCUGAAGAUAGUAGUUUAGUUUUCCUUUUAUUUUGUAUUGUUUCUCCAUACUACAAAAUUGCAACUUGUGUUUCUUUGGAAGCAAUAUUUUCAUCAUAUAUCAAUUUAGAUAGGCUACAUGGGGACCUUUUGUUCUGACCAGAGUUGAUGAUUUGUCUUAGGAUACAGUUGAUGAUGUAGUUGAAGAUGAAUGGUUCUUACUAAGAUACAUCUGUAUAUGUAUGUGGUUUCUUUGCUUCGGUUGGAGAUAUAUGUGUGGCUUAAAGAUAUAUCUGAAGUUAAAUUUCCAAGACAUACCAUCCGUCAGUGAUUAUGUAUUAAUGAUUGUUGGGAACUCCUAUCUUACUGACGACGCCCCUUGUAGGUAAAAUCUCAUCUAGACUACUAGAUGAUCCAAGUGAACAACUAUUUCACUUUCAGCUUGUAUAUCACUGUCUGGCCAUAGAAGGUUAGAUGGUAAUAUUGCAUCCAAGAAGAUGGGUGCCAACUAUUUAAAACACGCCUCUCACAAAAAAAGUAUAAAAGGAUUGCUAACUUGAGUCAUGAGAUUGUUGAGUUUAGUUCGCCAUCUCUUGAAUUGGGUGAAUUUCAUCACAAGAAAGAAGAAGGAACUUGAAAUCCAUUUUUGCAUUUUAAAACAAGUUGAUAGUAUUUGUGUUUCCUUAAUGAGUUGCUAGAGUUUCUUUACAAAUGUAUUGAUGAGAGGCUAUGCAAUGAUCCAUAUAUUCGGUAGGUGUUUAUUUUGCACUAUAAUUAUGUGAAGUCUUCGUCUAUACAAAACAUUUGAGGGGUGGCCGAACUGAAAUAAGUUGACCAUGUAUGGAUGACAAUUCAAUGACUAAUGGUUCUCUUUGGCAAUUAAAGUGGGUUAGAAAGUUUUCUUUAGCACACUAACUCUUGACUUCUUUUGUGAUCACGAGGACUGGGAUCAUGUAUUUGUUUGAUAGAUUAUGUAAACUGAGAUCAUAUAUAUAUAUAUGCUACCACGCUACAUGUCUCAUAUACUACCAUGUGCUACUAUAUAUACUUAUUUAUUAUUUUAAAUAUGUUCAUAUACUAUAUCUAAGAUAUUUCAAAGCAAGUUACAUGAAAAAAUUGCAUAUGAACCCAUAGUUUUUGUUAUAUUUGUGAAAUACGUACAUAUUUGUACGUAAAAAAUGGCAUACUCAAAACAAGGUAUAUACUACCUAACCAUUGUUAUAUACUACAUACUAUACGUACAUACUCUCGAUUUCGACAGAUACUACAUACAACAUACAAAACGCAAGUGGUGGUAACUACCACU
rnacentral:rRNA from 1 species